GUGGCUUGUGUGACAACAGAAGUGGCAAACGGGUUUAUCGCAAGCAGACGGUGGUCAAUGUAGCACUUCACCAGGAGUAUUCCAGGUAUCGUAUUUUCCACGGGGAACAAGAAGUGGACUAACUAGACCAGUUGAGUCGUCAGAUGAUGAUCAAAGGGCUUAGGAUUGGGUGGAGAGGUAUUUCUAGUAUUCGGCUUCUGGCUAAGCUAUCCUAAGUAUACCUGAGAGUUAACUCCCUUCCUACUGUGGCUGAUAGGUGAAAAGGGUGUGGCGAAACACUUCCCUAGGUAGCUACCAUGCAGGCCAACUAUUAUUUGCAACUUGCGUAACAACACACUAAAGUGAACUCCUAAUAUCCAGCAGAGGCCUGUCACGCUUCGCUGCUAGAGUUCUUCAGGUGCGACAAGAAGUCCACAAGGGCAGACUUAGUCUAGACACCACGUCUACACUAAGUCUACUACUCUAGAUCCAGCUAAACUUUCAAGCACUUCACACAAGGCAAAGCAAUGUGGCAUAUGGGCUGGUUGUAUACUUAAAAUAAACUAAGACAGAAAGUAAAUACUGGAAGUACUUAGAUGAAAGGCAACUAGAAGGAAGACUUACUAGAAGAUGAACAUCUGCUGAGGCAAUCCUGGAAGAAGACUCCCGACAAGCUGGGACUAUUCCUCAGAGAGCUCCUCACUCUCUUCCCUCGAUUCUCACACUUAGCUAAGAGUAGCUCUUCCUAAGAUACAUCCUCUUUAACUAGGCUCUCUAAGGGCGUAUUUAUAGGGGGAGAUGGAGUAGGGGCUACUCUAGCGCCACAUCAGCGAUCUGUGCGCUCCUUCUCCACCGUUGGACCAAACCGACCUUGGAAACGCCAUAUGAUCAAUGGUUGGGAAUUUCCAUCACAUGUUCAUCAUGGGGAUGUCGAUGGGAGUGAACCGACUCAAGGUGGGCCCACAUCCCAGGUCGGUUGUUGACAAUUGUGAUAUAGUUCUUAGCUCAUGAUUCAUACCCUUUCUAUUCAAAGUGCUUAGAGAUUUAUUAUUGAAAAUAUCAUAAAACCAUAGUGUCACUUACUCCUCAAUAGUAAGAGAAUUCCUACCAUAGCCAUAUAUGUUCAUACCUUGUUCAAAACCCUUCUAUAUAUGCUACUUGUACUUGUGUUGUGUUUGGUCAAACCUUGUGACCCUAGUUGAGAAUUAUGUCAUAGUCCCAAGAUCAAGAUCACACACACACCACAUACAUAUGCUGCUUCUACACUCGAAGUACGCAAAAACAUGCCACCCAUUUCCACCAUAUAGAUGCUCCAUGUUUUAAGGUUUAGAAUAUCUCUCUCUAAGUAUUGGUUAUAAGAUGAGAGACAAAGGCUAUGCUUAGUAAAAAAAAGUGCGCACAUGAAGGUCCAUUGCUUUUGAAAAAAAAAGAAAAAAAGCUAGCCAUGUCUCAAAUAAAUAAGAGAAAGAGAGAGAGAUCUUAUCAAACAUAGGAGCAUUCUAUUCUAAUCAUUUUUCACACACUUACACAUCUUGAUCUAGAAUUAGACAUUCUUCUCCUUGGAUCCUUGUUUUGACUUUACAAUAUAUACAAUGCAAUCAUGCUAUCUUGUUUCUCCCUACCUGAGCCCCACAUAAGCCUAAUAGAUGUAGGAUGAAACAAAAGAAGGCAAUCUUAUGCUAUGCCUUGGUGAGGAAUCCUAUACUUACUGAGUGACUUGAGAGUACUAUUAGUGGAGUAAGGAUGAACUAUGUGCUUUCUUUUAAAACAUUUAUCAAAAACUCUAAGUACUAAGGAUAUGAAAAUGGGAAGAUGACUUUGCUUUGAGAACUAUUCCAUUCUUCAACAUCCUAAGGAUAUAUGUUAGACAGUGCCACAUAAUCCACUUGUAUAAGAUAUGUCUUGAGUAGUCUUUGUGUUUGCUUAUAUCUUAAAAGUGUCAUAAUCAUAGGUUAUCUUCCUCUAACCUUUGCUCGAGGACAAGCAAAGACUUAAGUGUGGGGGUUCUUGUUAACGGUAGAUAAGCCCUAUUUUUACCCCAUCAAAAUCGUCAACAAUAUAUUCUUUCUAGAAGAAAAUCACCAAACACAUAGUGACUUAGGUACAAAUAACUUGGUUCCACAUGUACAUGACAUCAUUUGGAUGUAGGUCUGCAAUUGACUACUUUUUAGGGUUAAGGAGCUCUAUAUGAAGGUUGGACUACCACCCC
rnacentral:lncRNA from 1 species